rnacentral:rRNA from 1 species
AGUGAACGCUGGCGGUAGGCCUAACACAUGCAAGUCGAACGGCAGCACAGUAAGAGCUUGCUCUUACGGGUGGCGAGUGGCGGACGGGUGAGGAAUACAUCGGAAUCUACUUUUUCGUGGGGGAUAACGUAGGGAAACUUACGCUAAUACCGCAUACGACCUACGGGUGAAAGCAGGGGAUCUUCGGACCUUGCGCGAUUGAAUGAGCCGAUGUCGGAUUAGCUAGUUGGCGGGGUAAAGGCCCACCAAGGCGACGAUCCGUAGCUGGUCUGAGAGGCUGAUCAGCCACACUGGAACUGAGACACGGUCCAGACUCCUACGGGAGGCAGCAGUGGGGAAUAUUGGACAAUGGGCGCAAGCCUGAUCCAGCCAUACCGCGUGGGUUAAGAAGGCCUUCGGGUUGUAAAGCCCUUUUGUUGGGAAAGAAAAGCAGCAGGUUAAUACCCCGCUGUUCUGACGGUACCCAAAGAAUAAGCACCGGCUAACUUCGUG